CAGGAAGCAGCUUGCUGCUUCGCUGACGAGUGGCGGACGGGUGAGUAAUGUCUGGGAAACUGCCUGAUGGAGGGGGAUAACUACUGGAAACGGUGGCUAAUACCGCAUAACGUCGCAAGACCAAAGAGGGGGACCUUCGGGCCUCUUGCCAUCAGAUGUGCCCAGAUGGGAUUAGCUUGUUGGUGAGGUAACGGCUCACCAAGGCGACGAUCCCUAGCUGGUCUGAGAGGAUGACCAGCCACACUGGAACUGAGACACGGUCCAGACUCCUACGGGAGGCAGCAGUGGGGAAUAUUGCACAAUGGGCGCAAGCCUGAUGCAGCCAUGCCGCGUGUAUGAAGAAGGCCUUCGGGUUGUAAAGUACUUUCAGCGGGGAGGAAGGUGUUGUGGUUAAUAACCGCAGCAAUUGACGUUACCCGCAGAAGAAGCACCGGCUAACUCCGUGCCAGCAGCCGCGGUAAUACGGAGGGUGCAAGCGUUAAUCGGAAUUACUGGGCGUAAAGCGCACGCAGGCGGUCUGUCAAGUCGGAUGUGAAAUCCCCGGGCUCAACCUGGGAACUGCAUUCGAAACUGGCAGGCUUGAGUCUUGUAGAGGGGGGUAGAAUUCCAGGUGUAGCGGUGAAAUGCGUAGAGAUCUGGAGGAAUACCGGUGGCGAAGGCGGCCCCCUGGACAAAGACUGACGCUCAGGUGCGAAAGCGUGGGGAGCAAACAGGAUUAGAUACCCUGGUAGUCCACGCCGUAAACGAUGUCUACUUGGAGGUUGUGCCCUUGAGGCGUGGCUUCCGGAGCUAACGCGUUAAGUAGACCGCCUGGGGAGUACGGCCGCAAGGUUAAAACUCAAAUGAAUUGACGGGGGCCCGCACAAGCGGUGGAGCAUGUGGUUUAAUUCGAUGCAACGCGAAGAACCUUACCUGGUCUUGACAUCCACAGAAGAAUCCAGAGAUGGAUUUGUGCCUUCGGGAACUGUGAGACAGGUGCUGCAUGGCUGUCGUCAGCUCGUGUUGUGAAAUGUUGGGUUAAGUCCCGCAACGAGCGCAACCCUUAUCCUUUGUUGCCAGCGGUUAGGCCGGGAACUCAAAGGAGACUGCCAGUGAUAAACUGGAGGAAGGUGGGGAUGACGUCAAGUCAUCAUGGCCCUUACGACCAGGGCUACACACGUGCUACAAUGGCGCAUACAAAGAGAAGCGACCUCGCGAGAGCAAGCGGACCUCAUAAAGUGCGUCGUAGUCCGGAUUGGAGUCUGCAACUCGACUCCAUGAAGUCGGAAUCGCUAGUAAUCGUGGAUCAGAAUGCCACGGUGAAUACGUUCCCGGGCCUUGUACACACCGCCCGUCACACCAUGGGAGUGGGUUGCAAAAGAAGUAGGUAGCUUAACCUUCGGGAGGGCGCUUACCACUUUGUGAUUCAUGACUGGGGUGAAGUCGUAACAAGGUAACCGUAGGGGAACCUGCGGUUGGAUCACCUCCUUACCUUAAAGAA
rnacentral:rRNA from 1 species